rnacentral:rRNA from 3 species
GGACUACCGGGGUAUCUAAUCCCGUUCGCUCCCCUAGCUUUCGCGCCUCAGCGUCAGAAGAGGUCCAGCACGUCGCUUUCGCCACCGGCGUUCCUUCCAAUAUCAACGCAUUUCACCGCUCCACUGGAAGUUCCACAUGCCCCUACCUCCCUCAAGGCCGUCAGUAUCAAAGGCAGUUUUCCGGUUGAGCCGAAAGAUUUCACCCCUGACUUGACAGCCCGCCUACGCGCCCUUUAAGCCCAGUGAUUCCGAACAACGUUUGCACGGUUCGUCUUACCGCGGCUGCUGGCAC